GGUCGCUUCUCGCAGGCGGCGCGCUUGCUGAGUCACAGUGAGGCGGCUCCGCGCAGGCGCAGCCGGGCGGGCGAGGCGCGGUGAAGCUGUCAGGGCUGCCGCCGGGGUCCUGCGGGGCAGGAGCGCGAGGCCGGCCUGAGGGAGGAGGCCUAGCGACCCUUCCGGCGCCUCUCGCCCCGCGCAGCCACCCACGGCCGCGCAUCCUGCGGGUCCCAGGAGGCCUCCAUCUCAAAACAACGUGUUUUUAGGCACAUGACAGCUUUCUUGCAAUCAAGAAACUACGUGUGGCCAGGAUCCCAUCCACUAUCACAGUUUCGGCUUCCCCCAAGCUGGAAUAUGUCUUUGGAGACUCCCAUCCUUAUUAAAGGGCAAAGACUUCUCAUACACGUAGGAUGGGUCAUAUGUUCUUGGCGGGACUGCAGAGAAGGUGCCGUGUCCUGGGUCCUCACGUCGGGGCACAGGCUUCCAGCCGAUUCUACCUGGGUUAUGUUUAUCUCAAUUCUCCGGUGGUAUUGGUGUCUGCUGGGUUUUGCCAGAAUGAAGACACCGUGUUUUCAUUUGUAAAUUGAUUCGUAUUUUCCAGGGAGACAUUCUGAGAUUACAGUAUUGUCUUAGUCAAGGUGCUGCAGAGGGACAGAACUAAUAGGAUAUAUGGACAUGUGAAAGAAAGUUUAUGAAGGAGAACUGGCUCACACCAUCACGAGGCAAAGUCCCAUGACAGGCCGUCUGCAAGCUGAGGAGCGAGGAAGCCAGCAGUGGCUCAGCCGGAGUCCAACAGCCUCAAACAGGAAACCCGACAGUUCAGGCUUCAGUCUGUGGCCAAAUGCCCAGAGACCCCAGAAAGCUACUGGUGUUAAGUCCCAGAGUCCGAAGGCCAAAGAACCUGGAGUGUGAUGCCCAAGGGCAGAAGGAAUGGACAGAACCAUCCAGCAGGGGGUAAAGACGAAAGCCAGAAGACUCAGCAAGCCAGCUUACCUACCUUCUUCUGCCUGCCUUGUUCUAGCCGCACUGGCAGCCGAUUGGAGGGUGCCCACCCCCACUGUGGGUGGGUCUUCCUCUCCUAGUCCACAGACUCAAAUGUCAGUCUCUCUGGGAACACCCUCACACCAGAAACAAUACCAGCCAUCUAGCCACCCUUCAGUUCACCUCGCAACCAUUGUCUUACUCAUGAAACCUAUGCAGACCCACCUUAACCUCCAUCGGCGACUUCUACCUGAAGCCCUCUGAUUGCUGCCCAGUGGUGCUUUUUAAAAUAACUUCCAUAGUUUCUUCUACACCUUUAGUUGGCAUUCUACUGUAAAGGAGAGAUUUUAUUUUAUAUCUUAUUCAUUUAUUUGUUAGUUUAUAGUCACCACCAUAUGGAUGUAGAUUUCUGUCUCAUUUACUGGGGAGUAUUCUCUUGCAGUCG
rnacentral:antisense_RNA from 1 species